UUGGUAAAUAUCUACUGAUCUAACCUCUUCGUUUUUAGUAUCCGCCAUUUUAUCACCACUCCUCCACCAUACCCCACUCCUCCCAUUAUGAUUACUCCUAAAGCCUCAGUCUGGUAAGUGAUUCCUCUAUUCUUGUUCUCAUUAUAGGCACAUCAGAACUGAAGCUAUUGAAGACUAACCCAGGAUAUUUCAAGUUGUAUGAUAGUGUGUGUAUUAUAUCAUAUUAUACUGGCUCUAUUGUUUUAUGUAGGACAACCAGUCAGUAUUUCAAUGAUCCAUUCAUUCAUUAUUGGUAAUAAAGUCCUGCCCUAAUCUUUAUACAUGAUAUUACUCAGUAUAUUAUUUCAAGUCCCAUCUAUUGUACAGUAAAUAUGUGUUGUUAUUAUCUAUUUUACAGGUUAUAUUCAUAUACUUGAUCCAUUCAGGAUAUUUUAAGUAUUGUCCAGUAUAUGAUUAUAUUAUUAUUUAUUUUACAGGUGAUGAAGACACUGAAUUAAGUUUUAUUAAUGUUGUUUUGGUAAUAAAUGGAAAAUUGAAACAUGCAUUCUUGUUUAUUUUUAGGAUAUCAUCAGUAUUCUAAAGACGGAACUACCUACAAUACAUCAAGUGUAUGGAUAUUAUCAGGAUAUUAUCAGGAUAUUAACACUGCAGCAGUUUCUUUGAAUCCUACUGCAACUCAUCAAGUGUAUGAUUCUCUAUUGGUUAAUGAUAUCCACACACUAUCAUGUACAUGUACAUCCUUAUCUGUAACAUGUAUUCUAUUUCCCUUUCCUUAAGAUUGCUACACAGACUCAAGCCAGCAUGCAGUCUUCUUCAGCAUCAAUUCAGUCCCAGUCUUCAGUGUAUGGUAACAAUGUAUCUAUUGCAUGUUAUUAAUAACCUUGAUUACAGUGCUAAUAAUAAACGGCUCAUUUUAUCACUAUUCAUCCCAUUACAUGUAAUAAAGCACUGUCCCAUUGAUCUUUACUUGUUCUAUUGUUUAAACAUUUUUCUCUUUUUUUUAUUUCUACAGGAAUCAAGUUUAAAGUUGGUUGAGUGUGAGGUAGAGUGAGAGUUAAUAAUGUAUAAUUACGCAUGUUUAUAAUGUAUUUUAUGCAUGUACAAUAUAAUCCACAUAUUCUGCUCUCUCCCUCCACCCCCCCCCCCUCUAGUAGGUCUGACUGUUCUGGACUGGACCCUGGUAAGGAUUGAUUGCAUGUUCUCCGUUAUUACAUGUAAUGGGAUGAAUAGUGAUAAAAU